GGAAAUAGGUUCUGUGUGCUCUCCGGGGGUAUUGUGUCAGGAGAUGCAGGCUGGCUACCAUGUGACGCGGUCCAAAGCUGAAGGGAUUGGCCGAGGCAGCGCAGGCGGUGCAGCUCGGCCAGCUUGCCGUUCCUCUCCCUUUCUCUCAGCAUCUUCUUGGUAGCCUGCCUGUAGGUGAAGAAGCACCAGCAGCAUCCAUGGCCUGUCUUUUGGCUUAACACUUAUCUCCUUUGGCUUUGACAGCGGACGGAAUAGACCUCAGCAGCGGCGUGGUGAGGACUUAGCUGGGACCUGGAAUCGUAUCCUCCUGUGUUUUUUCAGACUCCUUGGAAAUUAAGGAAUGCAAUUCUGCCACCAUGAUGGAAGGAUUGAAAAAACGUACAAGGAAGGCCUUUGGAAUACGGAAGAAAGAAAAGGACACUGAUUCUACAGGUUCACCAGAUAGAGAUGGAAUUGUAAGUAUUUAAAUAACCAUUUUUACUGAGUUUGUGCUUCAAUAUAUGCUAUGUUUAAAUUUCUCAAAGCCCUUUUUUUUUCCUGUAGGGAAAAAAAUAGCUUGAAUGACUUUUUGGACCUCUCACUAUUGGAAUUUUCUAUAUUAAUUGCAUGGGACAUAAACAUAGUCCUGGUCAAGCUAGACUUAUUUAUGGCAUUUACCUAAAACCCUGCCCCAGAGCAGGCAGGAAAACAGAUGGUGGGUCACAAGCCAGACAGUUCACGCAGGGGCUGCUCCCAUCAACUGUUAUUUCAUUUCCAAUUUAAUGAUGUAAAAGCUCAUUAUGGGAGAAUGUUUUUCUCCAACAGAGGCCACAAAGUUGUAAUGAAGCUGAGAUCCAAGAAAAUUCAAAGAAGCUUUUCCCCUUUAGUAGUUGUGCUGCAGAUACAUUUUCUAUAUUAAAUUCAAAAGUAGGAGAUGGUCUUGAAAACCACUUAAGCCUGAAUUUACAGCCUGAAAGAGGAAAAUGUGUCCACUGGGUUUAGAUUUAACAGUUAACUCUGACUCCUUGCUGGCCACCAGAAUUCUUGCUUUUUAAAGAAGUCCGUGGUGCAUGGGCUUAGAUUUAUCCGAGUUGUGCUUACGGGAGUCUGCACCGACUCCUAAAAUGACUUCCUUCAAAUCUAAAUCAGAUGCCUAUUCAGAAGGUUCAAAAGAACAGCUGUUACUG
rnacentral:lncRNA from 1 species